rnacentral:misc_RNA from 1 species
GAUGAAGAACGUAGUGAAAUGCGAUAAGUAAUGUGAAUUGCAGAAUUCAGUGAAUCAUCGAAUCUUUGAACGCACCUUGCGCUCCUUGGUAUUCCGAGGAGCAUGCCUGUUUGAGUGUCAUUAAAUUCUCAACCCCUCCAGCUUUUGUGGCUGGUCGUGGCUUGGAUAUGGGAGUUUUUGCUGGUCUCAUUCGAGAUCAGCUCUCCUGAAAUGCAUUAGUGGAACCGUUUGCGAUCCGUCACCGGUGUGAUAAUUAUCUACGCCAUAGACUGUGAACGCUCUCUGUAUUGUUCUGCUUCUAACUGUCUUGUAAAAGGACAACGAUAUUGAACUUUUGACCUCAAAUCAGGUAGGACUACCCGCUGAACUUAAGCAUAUCAAUAAGCGGAGGGA